GCCGGGCAUGGUGGCGGGUGCCUGUAAUCCCAGCUACCAGGGAGGCUGAGGCAGGAGAAUCACUUGAACCUGGGAGGCGGAGGUUGCAGUGAGCGGAUAUUGUGCCACUGCACUCCAGCCUGGGUGACAGAGUGAGACUCUGUCUCAA
rfam:Pan troglodytes isolate Yerkes chimp pedigree #C0471 (Clint) chromosome 8, whole genome shotgun sequence.